rnacentral:rRNA from 1 species
CAGUCGCCGCGGGAAUACAGAGGGUGCGAGCGUUAAUCGGAUUUACUGGGCGUAAAGCGUGCGUAGGCGGCUUUUUAAGUUGGAUGUGAAAUCCCUGAGCUUAACUUAGGAAUUGCAUUCGAUACUGGGAAGCUAGAGUAUGGGAGAGGAUGGUAGAAUUCCAGGUGUAGCGGUGAAAUGCGUAGAGAUCUGGAGGAAUACCGAUGGCGAAGGCAGCCAUCUGGCCUAAUACUGACGCUGAGGUACGAAAGCAUGGGGAGCAAACAGGAUUAGAUACCCCUGUAGUCCCUGUCUCUUAUAC